UGGCGAACGGGUGAGUAACACGUGGGUAACCUGCCCAUCAGAAGGGGAUAACACUUGGAAACAGGUGCUAAUACCGUAUAACACUAUUUUCCGCAUGGAAGAAAGUUGAAAGGCGCUUUUGCGUCACUGAUGGAUGGACCCGCGGUGCAUUAGCUAGUUGGUGAGGUAACGGCUCACCAAGGCAACGAUGCAUAGCCGACCUGAGAGGGUGAUCGGCCACACUGGGACUGAGACACGGCCCAGACUCCUACGGGAGGCAGCAGUAGGGAAUCUUCGGCAAUGGACGAAAGUCUGACCGAGCGACGCCGCGUGAGUGAAGAAGGUUUUCGGAUCGUAAAACUCUGUUGUUAGAGAAGAACAAGGAUGAGAGUAGAACGUUCAUCCCUUGA
rnacentral:rRNA from 1 species